rnacentral:rRNA from 1 species
CCUACGGGCGGCUGCAGUGAGGAAUAUUGGUCAAUGGACGAGAGUCUGAACCAGCCAAGUCGCGUGAAGGAGGACUGUCCUAUGGGUUGUAAACUUCUUUUAUAAAGGAAUAAAACGAGGCACGUGUCCCUUUUUGCAUGUACUUUAUGAAUAAGCAUCGGCCAACUCCGUGCCAGCAGCCGCGGUAAUACGGAGGAUCCGAGCGUUAUCCGGAUUUAUUGGGUUUAAAGGGUGCGUAGAUGGGUUGUUAAGUCAGUUGUGAAAGUUUGCGGCUCAACCGUAAAAUUGCAAUUGAUACUGGCAGUCUUGAGUACAGGUGAGGUAAGCGGAAUUCGUGGUGUAGCGGUGAAAUGCUUAGAUAUCACGAAGAACCCCGAUUGCGAAGGCAGCUUAC